rnacentral:rRNA from 1 species
UGAGGAAUUUUCCGCAAUGGAGGCAACUCUGACGGAGCAACGCCGCGUGCAGGAGGACGGCCUUCGGGUUGUAAACUGCUUUUCUGUGGGAAGAGUUCGGACGGUACCACAGGAACAAGCCCCGGCUAACUACGUGCCAGCAGCCGCGGUAAUACGUAGGGGGCAAGCGUUGUCCGGAGUUACUGGGCGUAAAGGGCACGCAGGCGGUUGUGUCAGUUUGCGGGGACAGUGGGUGGCUUAACUACCCAAGGGUCGCAAAGACGGCACGACUGGAGAGCGAGAGAGGGACCUGGAACUCCGGGUGGAGCGGUGAAAUGCGUAGAGAUCCGGAAGAACACCACUGGCGCAGGCAAGGUCCUGGCUCGUAUCUGACGCUGAGGUGCGAAAGCUAGGGGAGCGAAC